rnacentral:rRNA from 1 species
GUGAGGAAUUUUCCGCAAUGGGCGAAAGCCUGACGGAGCAAUGCCGCGUGAAGGAUGAAGGCCUAUGGGUUGUAAACUUCUUUUCUCAGAAAAGAAUUAUGACGGUAUCUGAGGAAUAAGCAUCGUCUAACUCUGUGCCAGCAGCCGCGGUAAGACAGAGGAUGCAAGCGUUAUCCGGAAUGAUUGGGCGUAAAGCGUCUGUAGGUUGUUUAAAAAGUAUUCUGUCAAAGAUUAGGGCUUAACCCUAGAUAGGCAGAAUAAACUUUUAAGCUAGAGUUUGGUAGAGGCAGAGGGAAUUCCCGGUGGAGCGGUGAAAUGCGUAGAUAUCGGGAGGAACACCAAAGGCGAAGGCACUCUGCUGGGCCAAUACUAACACUGAGAGACGAAAGCGAGGGGAGCAAAUGGGAUUAGAUACCCUUGUAGUCC